CGCCGCACUCUCCUCACUUAUCCUCAAUCCCCUCCCUCCUUCGAAACCUAGGGCACCACCGCAGCACCUCAACACGCAGUCCACGCCGCCGCCGCCGUAGCGCCGCAGUCCAUGCAGCUCCUCCACACGGCUGCAUCCGAUGCAUCCACCCAUCCCACUGCCACACCUCCACUCCGCCGCAUCCACGAAUCCGCACUGGUUCAAUGUGGUAAACUGAUUAUCCGCAUCCACGGAUCCGCCGCAUCCACCGCCACACCUCCCCCUCUCCUCACCUCCCCUGCUGCCCGCGGCCCCGCGCCGGAGCAGGUGGUGGCAGCGGCGGCGGGGCUGCGACCAUCUUCGCUGUGACUCAUCCGGGCUACGACCCACUUCAAGGUGUUGCUAGUUACAUCCGUUGGAGUUGCGGCUUCCGCCGAAUCCCCCAAUCCACACCCGCCAUGGCGUUCUGGGGGGUGGAAGUGAAGCCUAGGAAGCCCUAUACCCACACCCACCAGGCUGACCAUGGUCGCCUCCGCAUUUGCCAGGUUGGGGUUUUUGUCCAACCAGUUGCAGAGCUUGCAUGUAAAUCUAGCAGGGGCUCAACAAUGAACUACAGUGGAGUUUGCAAGAACUGAGGGGGGCCGUGGCCCAUGUUGACCUCACUGAAGCACUGCCCCUAUGUACAAUUAACAUGUGCCUUCUGCCCUUUGUCAUUUCCUACUCCUAAUAUGCCCCAUCUGUUAACAUGUCACCUGAAAUACUUUGGUUUUGUUGACAUGGGUAUAUGUUCUCUUUUAUUUGUAUCUAUCAUUUUUGAUAACAGAGAAGGUCUUGAAAUCAGGAUGGAAUAUUCAGUGAGUGUAAUUGCUUUUGAUUGCCUUCCGACACAGAAAUGUUUUCCAGUGAGCCUCCUAUUUGGUUGCAUGAUGUGACCUUGAUGACUUGACCAUUAAGAUCAAUAAAAAACUACGUUUACAGUUUACACUGCAUUAAGCGAAGCUUGUUCAAACUGAACAUUAAGAUCAAUAUAGAAUUUAUAUUUGCACUGAAUUAAACAGAGCUGAAUGCCUUGUUAGUUCCUUUUUACUUGGUUAAUAGUCCAUGAUACUGCAAUUAGCUAUUUCUGUCCUACUGCUGGAUUUGAAUGUACUAGAGAUUGAGUUUGAGGAGGUCGAUGAUGUUGUCUUUUCAGUGAUUGGUCAAAGUUCGAUUCAUCUCUCUGGAUACUAUGUCCGUGCAAGCAGCAGGUCCAAUGUGGGAGAUGAUGAAUCAGAAUCUUAUGGGGAAGAUAUUGGGCACUCUGAUACUGAUGAGGAGCAUGAUGCCAGUGAGGACAGCUAUGAAUCUGACUUUAUUGAUGAUCGUGAAGUUCCAACACCUGAGAAGUAUGGGUCUGAUUCUAUAGAUGAUAGUGAUUAUGAGUGCACCCUUCGACGACGACGCAAACAAAAAGGCUAACAUGGAGGCAUAUCUUGAUCAACAAAUAGAAGGACAAGCUCCAAAGAUGCCACUUGAGGAUGUUGGUAUGUAUGCAGCUCACAACAAAGAAGAAAAAUACCAAGUUUGCUAAAAUGACUGCUCGUGUGAAUGAUCUUGAGAGUGAACUGCAAGCUGCUCAGAUAGGAUCAGCUGGACUGCUAUGUUGUCGCUGUUAUGAGCUGCUGUGGUCACUUAUUGUGUUGCUGCUGUUGUGUCGCUACUAUUAUGUAAAUUUGAGACAACAGUUUCUUGAAUUGUAAGAUUAUUAGAGUGAAAUUAUUGUGAUGUCUUGCUGUGUUCGAGCAGCAGAUUCUUGAAUUGUAAGACUGGUGAUUUGGAGAUAAUAUUAUGUGAUGUAUGGGCUGUAUUGGCUGAA